rnacentral:rRNA from 1 species
AUGUCGACUGCAGGAUUGAGGAAUGUAUCUUGCCCUACCUUUGACGGUCAUGAGUAUCCUCGGUGGAAGACCAUGAUGAAGAAGCGACUUAUGGCUAUGGAUAGCGAACUAUGGACCAUCACUGAGAUUGGUCUUACCGAUCUAUGCAAGAUGGCGGAUGUUGAUGACAUUCGCAAGUAUACUCUACUGAACCUCACGGCGAAGGAUGUCAUCUGCUCCUAUCUGUCCCGAAAUCAGUUCAGGAACGUCAUGCACCUCAAUCACGCGAAGCUAAUCUGGGACCGGCUUUCUGAGGUCUAUGAAGGUCAUCGUACUCGUCAUGAUCCUUGGUUUGAGGACUACAAGGAGUCUCUUAAAGAGAUGACUUUUGCACCUGAAUCGCCAUCAUCUUCACCAUGCCUCACGGCAAGGGGUGAUAAGGUAACUGAAUGCUACCUCUCUGAGACUAGCGAUGAUGAAUUUGGCCCUAGUUAUGUCAAGCUUGUUUCCCUUGCCACUAAACAACAAAGAGUCUUGGAAAAGGUUCAAGGCAUGCUUAGUAAGAGCGAUGAUAUGUUGGGUAAAGAAAUGGAUCAGUCAAAAGCUUUAGCUGAGAGUCUUCAGAGACUUCAUUCCAAGUUUGACGCCCUUCAAGAUCAACAUAAUGCUCUCUUGUCUGAUCAUGAGAAGCUCUCUUCUGAAUGUCUUCAAAGAAAGUUAGACCUUGAAAAGAUAAGAGUGGAUUAUGAAGAUCUUCAGAAGGAGCGCGAUUCAUUUCGCGCUCAACAAAUCAGCGUUACACAGAAAGGAUUUGAACCACCAUGUCUAAAAUGCAUUGAGCGUGAUAACGCUACAUCUGUUGCUGAAUGUUUCACUGCUGCUACUGUUUCAUUAUCUUCAACUACUGAAGUGGCAACUAACCCCUCUGCGGAGGAUACCAUUGCUAUUGCUGAUGAAAAUGCUAGGUUGAAGACAUUGCUUGAAACUGGGAUGUACAAAAGUCUGAAAGGACAUCAGACACUUUGUGAUGUCCUCAAAAAGCAGAUUCUGAACCGAAACCCUAGGAAAGAGGGUGUUGGGUUCGAGAGGAAAAUGAAUGAUGAUGGUUCCUACUGGAAGCCUGAGCAGUAUCCCAAAACCACAUGGGUUGCUGCAAAGGAACCUUCAAUGGAUCCAUCCACUUUAUCUGGCUUUACCUGUGCUAAUCCUAUUAUCAUAGAUGAAUCCUUUGAUGCAAACUAUAAACUGUUCAAAAAUCAGAAUGGUGAAGUGUUUGCCAGGUAUAUUGGUACUAACUGCAGGAAUGGACCACCUAUGAAGAAGAUCUGGGUUCCCAAAAACUGUCUUGAGAAUCUUCCAGUGAAUGUCAUCAUGACACCACCAGAGAAGAAGACAAACCCCAGACCAAAGGCAUCAUAUGGUCCAACGGCUUCAUAUGAAUACAGGACUCACUUGAGUCACCCCAAUGCCAAUGUUUUGCAGGGAAAUCGUGCUCAAACUUAUGAAUAUGAACGUGUGUCCUCAAACCGCCAUGUUCAUAGGACUAAGAACUUUUCUGCUUAUUCAUAUGAGUAUCAUUCAUCUCCUGCAAGGCUAUUUGCUAGGGCUUCAAAGCCGAAAUUCUUAGAUGCUGCACUUAGACUCAUUGCUUCUAAGUCACCCCUGAAGAUGUGGGUGGUGAAGAAGAAUUAA